ACCAUCCUUUUCUUGGGGUUGUGCUACUGUCCAGUGAAUGCCUAGUAAGGACAGUACUGCUAACACCUACACCUACACCUACACACCUACACCUGCACCUACACCUAUACACCUGCACCGCCUGCAGCUAUUGCCUUAGUGGUGAAAAA